GGAAGUCCUCUAUGGUGGGGAUAAAGACGUUAUAUGAUGUAACAGGGAUCGUAUCAAACAUUUUGUAUGUUCUGUCAAAAAGAAAAGAAAAAAGACUGACAAAAAUGUUGUAGACAAUGCAAUGUGAAACUAAACCAUCAGACCACUAAGUAUAUACAGCCUUAUGGGAUCAGACCUCCUUGAAACGAAUGGUGUGUUGAUAUGUGAAUGGACAUUUAAAUAUACAAGACCAUCGCGGAGAAACAAUAGAUAAAUAUGGACAUUUCAUUUCAAAUACUUUCAUAUUGAAUAUUGAAAAGAGAAAACUAC